AUGAAUUAAACUUGGUCAAGCUGUUGCUGGUCUCUCGGGACAUGUGCACGUUUGCCACCAAUUUUAACCACCUGUGCACCUUUUGUAGACUGGAAACGUUUCUCGAGGCAACUCGGAUUGAGGACUGCUGUGCGCGAGCCGGCUGUUCUUGUGUUUCUCAGUCUAUGUUUUUAUAUACUCCUAAUGAAUGUAUCAGAAUGUAUUGCUGGGCCUUAGUGCCUUUAAAUCAAAUA
rnacentral:misc_RNA from 1 species